GACCUAGUGGUGAAUGGAUCACACCUGCUCUUUCUACGAAGCCGCUGUAUCCAUAGGACAGCAGGAUCUCCCGGUUCGAUUCCGGGCUAGGUCA